rnacentral:rRNA from 1 species
CCUACGGGAGGCAGCAGUGGGGAAUAUUGGGCAAUGGGCGCAAGCCUGACCCAGCAACGCCGCGUGAAGGAAGAAGGCUUUCGGGUUGUAAACUUCUUUUCUCAGGGACGAAGCAAGUGACGGUACCUGAAGAAAAAGCAUCGGCUAACUCCGUGCCAGCAGCCGCGGUAAUCCGGAGGAUGCGAGCGUUAUCCGGAUUUGUUGGGUUUAAAGGGUGCGUAGGCGGAAUGCCAAGUCAGCGGUAAAAUCGCGGGGCUCAACCUCGCUCCGCCGUUGAAACUGGCGUUCUUGAGUGGGCGAGAAGUAUGCAGAAUGCGUGGUGUAGCGGUGAAAUGCAUAGAGAUCACGCAGAACUCCGAUUGCGAAGGCAGCACACCGGCGACCAACUGACGCUGAAGCACGAAAGCGUGGGUAUCGAACAGGAUUAGAUACCCCUGUAGUC